AGAGUUUGAUCAUGGCUCAGGACGAACGCUGGCGGCGUGGAUUAGGCAUGCAAGUCGAACGGUAUAAACCCUUUCGGGGUUUAGAGAGUGGCGAACGGGUGAGUAACACGUAGGUAAUCUACCCUCAAAACGGGGACAACCCAGGGAAACUUGGGCUAAUACCGGAUGCGUGCAAGCAAUGUUUUGGCUGUUAAUGCUAUUCACGGAAGUGAGUAGUGUUAAUGGUUGAGAGCAUUAUUUGCAUAAAAGGUGGCAUAUGCUGCCGUUUGAGGAUGAGCCUGCGUCCUAUUAGUUAGUUGGUGAGGUAAUGGCUUACCAAGGCGAUGAUAGGUAGGCGGCCUUAACGGGUGGUCGCCCACACUGGGAUUGAGAGACGGCCCAGACUCCUACGGGAGGCAGCAGUCGAGAAUAGUCUACAAUGGACGGAAGUCUGAUAGUGCGACGCCGCGUGAACGAAGAAUCCCUUCGGGGUGUAAAGUUCUUUUAUACGUGAGCAGUGCCCUUUAUAUGAAUAGUAUAGAGGGAGGGAUUUAAGCGUAUGAAUAAGCAACGGCUAACUCCGUGCCAGCAGCCGCGGUAACACGGGGGUUGCAAGCGUUGUCCGGAAUUACUAGGCGUAAAGUGCAGGUAGGCGGAUAGAUAAGUUUAAGGUUAAAGGCUACGGCUUACCCGUAGUAAGGCGUUAGAUACUGUUUAUCUGGAAUGCGGUUGAGGGAGACAGAAUUCCUGGUGUAGCGGUGGAAUGCGCAGAGAUCAGGAGGAAUACCGAAGGCGAAGGCAGUCUUCUAAGCCGAUAUUGACGCUAAACUGCGAAGGUGUGGGGAUCAAACAGGAUUAGAUACCCUGGUAGUCCACACAGUAAACGAUAAUCACUAGGUGUUGGGUUCGUAUAGGACUCGGUGCCGGAGCUAACGCGAUAAGUGAUUCGCCUGGGGAGUACGAUCGCAAGGUUGAAACUCAAAUGAAUUGACGG
rnacentral:rRNA from 1 species